GACGAACGCUGGCGGCGUGCCUAAUACAUGCAAGUCGAGCGAUGAAGGAGAUACUUGUAUCUUUUGAAGAGCGGCGAACGGGUGAGUAACGCGUGGGGAAUCUGCCAAUGAGUGGGGGACAACAUUUGGAAACGAAUGCUAAUACCGCAUAAAAUCUAUUGAGACAUCUCAAGAGAUUGAAAGGAACAAUUGUUUCGCUCGUUGAUGAUCCCGGGUUGUAUGAGCUAGAUGGUGAGGUAAGGGCGCACCAAGGCGAUGAUACAUAGCCGACCUGAGAGGGUGAUCGGCCACAUUGGGACUGAGACACGGCCCAAACGCCUACGGGAGGCAGCAGUAGGGAAUCUUCGGCAAUGGACGAAAGUCUGACCGAGCAACGCCGCGUGAGUGAAGAAGGUUUUCGGAUCGUAAAGCUCUGUUGUUGUUAAAGAACGUUGAUGAGAGUGGAAAGUUCAUCAAGUGACGGUAAACAACCAGAAAGGGACGGCUAACUACGUGCCAGCCGCCGCUGUAA
rnacentral:rRNA from 1 species